rnacentral:rRNA from 1 species
UGCCUACGGGACGCGGCAGUGAGGAAUAUUGGUCAAUGGACGCAAGUCUGAACCAGCCAAGUCGCGUGAGGGAAGACGGUCCUAUGGAUUGUAAACCUCUUUAGGCGGGGAGCAAUGCCGGGCACGCGUGUCCGGAGGGAGAGUACCCGCAGAAUAAGCAUCGGCUAACUCCGUGCCAGCAGCCGCGGUAAUACGGAGGAUGCGAGCGUUAUCCGGAUUUAUUGGGUUUAAAGGGUGCGUAGGCGGAUUUUUAAGUCAGCGGUAAAAUGUCCGGGCUCAACCCGGGCCGGCCGUUGAAACUGGGG